UCAAAAAAAAAAAAAGAAAAAAAGAAAAAAGACGGGAGAUGUAUUGCAAAUCAUGGUUACUACAGUUAAUAGUCAUGUAUUGUCUAUUCAAAAUAGCUAAAAGAGUAUAUUUUAAAUAUUCUUACUACAGAAAAAUAAAAAUAAGGAUUUAAGUUGAUGGAUACGUUAAUUCACCUGAUUUGACCGUUCCACAAUGUAUACCUGUGUCAAAACAUCACUGUACCCAGUAAAUACAUGCUGGACAAAUCAGGACGCAAACCCUCGUCAGCUUUGGAACACAAAUAUUUGCCAGUGAAGAAAACAUUCCCUCAUCAGUCAAAACCCGGACAGUCUGGCACACACGUCUGCAGCUGCCUGAGGGAGCUUCUACUGUGGGAGGGGCCAGAUGGCCCACAGCUCCCCCUCCUCCCUGAACACUGCAGGCUCCUUCUCUUCCUACUUCAUUUUGAAGAUAAAGAGACAGGGGUUCAGAGUUGUCACUUGCCCUUGGUCACAUAGCAUCCAGAGUGACCUUUGAUUUCUUCUCUUCGAGCAUAUCUGUCUUUUCUCUUUUGUUUUUAUUUUUUUUUAAUAGAGAUGGGGUCUUGGCAUGUUGCCUAGGCUGAUCUCAAACUCCUGGCCUCAAGUGAUCCUUCUGCCUCGGCCUCCCAAAGUGCUGGGAUUACAGGCGUGCCUGGCCAAGAGUAUGUGUCUUCACACAUGAAAGUAACUCAGCGAAAACUCCAGAUCUGUAAAUAACAACUUCUAAGGCAGAUACACAACAGACACAGCUUUGUGAGCAGGCCUGUGAGCUUUACGGCUUUUUUUCACCUUCCCAGUGACCCUCUAUGGGGCUUCAGGGAGGUUGGAGAGGAGAGCAUCCGGUUAGCUGGGGCGGGGGCAGGGGGUGCUUUCUGCUGGAAUUCCAAACCCUGGAAUCCUCAUGUCUCCUGUGAUUUUUCUCGCGGGCCUAAUUAUCAAGGUUUCAAAUUCGACUGCAGUCCUAGAAUAGCGCUUCACCCCCAGGAAGCUUUUCCGGCCAUGACCACCCCAUCAAAAUCACCUGGCCCUGGAUGAAAUUCAGCUUUCUGUCCUUUCCACGACUCCGGAAUCCCAACUCCCAGGAGCGUGCACACAGACAAUGGGCACCCGCUAGGGGAUUCUGACACAGGUGAGCUCCAGCCACCGCUCUGGCUUCACCUGCGCCCACUGUACAGGGGCAGCCGGUCCAGCGAGCAGGUGAGUAUUUGCUCAGGUGGUGCAAACCUGCCGCUCCUGUCUCAUGUGGGGCUCCUGCCGAAGUGCAAAUUCUGAGCUCCUGCUCUGAAGUGUCCGAAUUGGAAGCUGUGGGGUGGGAUGGAGGAAUCUGCAUUUUUACAGCUGUUUUAAACAAUGUGUGCAGAGAGGGCAGAAGAUUGUGAAAUUAAUGGAAACAAGGUCUUCCCUCAUCCCUCUAUCUGUCAGCCCGGGUGAUGCCUAGUCCCGGGCCCGGUGCUGAGUUUGGGCCAAUAAAUGCUUGUACUCUUGGCCUGGCACGAUGGCUCCCACCUGUAAUCCCAGCACUUUGGGAAGUCGAGAUGGGAGGAUCGCUGGAGACCGGAAGUUCAAGACCAGCCUGAGCAACACAGCAAGAUCCCAAAUCCACGAAAAGUUGUUUAAAAAUUAAAAUAAAAUAAAUGCGUUUACUCUUGG